rnacentral:rRNA from 1 species
UACGGGGGGAGCAAGCGUUGUUCGGAUUUACUGGGCGUAAAGGGCGCGUAGGCGGCCACCGCAAGUCACUUGUGAAAUCUCCGGGCUUAACCCGGAAAGGUCAACUGAUACUGCGGGGCUAGAGUGCAGAAGGGGCAACUGGAAUUCUCGGUGUAGCGGUGAAAUGCGUAGAUAUCGAGAGGGACACCUGCGGCGAAGGCGGGUUGCUGGGCUGACACUGACGCUGAUGUGCGAAAGCUAGGGGAGCGAACGGG